rnacentral:lncRNA from 1 species
AUUCUUGUACAGUCUGAAAUCCUAGAAAUGCUAAGAUCUCAGGACAUCUAUGCUAAGCCCAGAAAACACUGACGAGCUUUUCCGUUCCUGGAGGAGGGUGUCUUACUGGAAGGCUGUGGGCCGAUGCCAGGUGACAUGAUAGACAAUUACUGGACUAAUUUGCAAAGCGCAUUUCUGAAGUCACAUUUUUUGCUUGACAUGGAUUCCAUCUUCACAGAGAAGGACACUGCAACACUGCUGUAAUGAACACAGGGAAGGCAUUGUUGUGCUGGGAGCUGAGGAAACAAAUCCUGAGACACUAAGUGAUUUGCCCAAGGCCACGCCGUGUCAAAGCCGAAGAAAACUCAAGGACAAUGACUUCCAAGUCUGCUGUGGGUGUCCCUGUCUUUCCUCUCUGGUCCCAUUUAAACUCCGGGUUUAAUUCGAUCUUCAUAUGACUAUGUCCCUCCACUAGCAAAUGUGGAACAACUUGAAGAAAAUGGAGACCAUAACUCCUGCCUCAACUGCCUCACAUGGGGAUUAUGAGGAAAACAAUAAGAAGAUUUAAUAAAAAUGGACUCAGACUGUUACUGAUUUUCCAUACAGGUGCUAGUAAUUGGGUGAGUAGAGGAUAUGAGAAAUGAAGAGCCCUGGAAUUGAAGUCAGAUGUGAAUCAGAAUUCUGACUCCCCCUCUCAUUAGCUGUGUAACCUUGAACACUUAAUCUCACAAAACCACGGUUUCUUUUUCUGUAAAAAAAGAAUGACAGACUGGGUGCGGUAACUCAGGCCUGUAAUCCCAGCACUUUGGGAGGCUGAGGUGGGCGAAUCACGAGGUCAGGGGUUCGAGACCAGCCUGGCCAACAUGGUGAAACCCCGUCUCUACUAAAAAUACAAAAAACUGCCAGGCGUGGUGGUGGGCACCUGUAAUCCCAACUACUAGGGAGGCUGAGGCAGGAGAAUCAUUUGAACGCGGGAGGUGGAGGUUGCAGUGAGCCAUUGCACUCCAGCCUGGGUGAUAUGGUGAGGCUCCAUCUCGAAAAAAUAAAUAAAUAAAUAAAAUAACAAAAAUGCAUGCCCAGUAGCAGGAAUGGAAGUAGCCUAAACUACCAUCCACAGGGGACCAGCUAAAUAAGGAUGCUCUGCCUGUACAGUCAGAGAGGAGCGCCUUCUACUCUCUUCAGGUUUCCGUGCAAAGGAGUUUUUUAAGCACCCUGAUGAUCUUGCUUUUUCCCUUGACUCGCUCCACCUGUGAGAAGGUGGUAUCACUUAUCUGACUGGUAGAUCUUGUCUCAACUGUACUUUUCAUUUUGGGAACUGCUGCAGGCUACACAACAAGAUCUAUAUGCACAGCUUCAGUAAUAACAAGCUUGCUUGACUAUUCACAUAAAACUCUAACUUCUAGUCUUGCCUCUGUCUGCAAUAAA